GCCUGGGUGGCUCAGUCAGUUAAGCGCCUGCCUUUGGCUCAGGACAUGAUCUCACAGUUCGUGGGUUCGAGCCCCACGUUGGGCC
rnacentral:tRNA from 1 species